CCUCUUCACUAAAUUCACACUCUAUCACACAGUCUCAAGAUGCUAUACAGAUACUUCUUUUUAGACUUUGAGCCUUCAUGAGAGGAACAUUGAAAGACAAAAAUUACAGUCUUUAAGAAGUUACUGUCCUGAGGCUCUACACCUGCCCACAAUUACCAUGGAGACCGUGGAUGACAAAUAUGUUUGGAAUACGCCAGUCCCCUAGAGGGAGGCAGCUGCUUCUGGCAAGUAGGAGGCCCAGGGAGAGUUGUGAGUGGGAAUUCCUGCCUCUUCUCCCAAGCGGGCAAGUCUUGUCUGGGCGAUGCCUAAAGUUUCAAAUUGCUGCCUGGAGGUUGAUGCUGAAUAAAGUUAAAAGGUCACAAAGUAAAA